UGGUUUGCCUUCUGUUUUGAUCCUGGACAGCUUGACAGUUUGAGAGGCCCUGAUAGGUAUUAUUAGCAAUCAAGAAAGGCGAGUCUCCUGCCUGGACAACAUAAGAUGUGUUAGCCUGAGAGUAGUUACCUGAACAUGAACAGUUGACAGGAACUAGCACCAACUUGUUUGUAUCAAAUGAUGCAGCCUCAGAAACUGAGUUUAUUGCAGAGAGCUGAGAUGGGUCAG
rnacentral:misc_RNA from 1 species